CUCUGGUUACCGGGUUGUGGGUGGUGUCAGGACGGUGCAGGCGCAAUGAGCGGCGGAAGUAGUUACUGGGAAGUAAGCAAGCGGCAGUUUCCCUUGGCGUAAGGCUCCUCCUCCCGCCGCGGGUUGCUUCACUGCACGUGUGCCCGGGCUCCGCCCCACACUGCCAGUGCUUUGGCCGCUUGGGCGCCUCCUCCCGCGCAGAGAUGGCGCACGACCCCGCAGAAUCAUAGCAAGUGCUGUUGUCAGUGGCCUUCUAAUCCAGGACUGCCAUAUUGCAAGAACACAUGGGCCCCAAAGCAAAAUCUGAAUAGAUUCAGCCAGUGAAAAAGGUGAUUUUUGAAGAAUGAUCAAGAAUUCUUGCAAGACACUUAAGACUGUUUUACAGAGGAGUAUUGUAACCGAGAAUUUAUAAUAACAGCAUCUCAGACAUGUUGAAAAAGAUGUUUUGAUCCCUAAAAUUAUGAGAGAAAAGGCCCGAGAGAGGUGCUCUGAACAAGUUCAAGAUUUCACUAAAUGCUGCAAGGACUCUGGAAUCCUUAUGGUAGUAAAAUGCCGGAAAGAAAAUUCUGCAUUGAAAGACUGUCUAACUGCUUACUAUAAUGAUCCAGCCUUUUAUGAAGAAUGCAAAAUGGAAUAUCUGAAGGAAAGGGAAGAAUUCAGAAAAACUGGGAUUCCUACCAAGAAAAGACUACAGAAGCUUCCCACAAGCAUGUAGGCGAAGUCAAAUGAUACUCAGGAACCCUAAUAUCCAUGGAAAUCACAGUCACCUGAAAUAACGGACUUAAGGAAGUGUUUGCUUUACCCUUAAUUACGGAAAUAAUUUUAUCUGAAAUAAAGUUCUUGCAAACUUCAAAGUUAAGUUUAUUAAAUAGGAUAGGAGUAAGUAGUAAAAUGGGAUGUGGUCUGCUUGGUCAUUAUGGAUUUUCCAUUAACUUUUGCACAACUGUGGUUCUGUAACAGUGACAGCUGAUUUCUUAAGUUUCCACAUGACUCUUACCUUACUCUCCUCAUGUGGCCAGCAUUUACUAAAGCAAAGCAGGAAUGGACAGCCUUCAGAGGUGUAGUAACUUGGCAGUAUAGCAUAAUGGUUAUGAACCUACCAUUUAUUAGUUAAGCAACUGUGGAUAUGUCUCAUAGUUACCAUGAGUAUUAACCAAGUACUGCAGGUAAGUAGAGUAGGUAGGACAGUGCCUUGCACAUGGUAAGUGCUCUUUGUAGUUAUUAUCAGUAGUAGUAUGAGUAUAGUAUUUUUAAUGGCCACAUCUGCAGCAUGUGGAAGUUCCUGGACUAGGGGUUGAAUCAGAACUGCAGCUGAGGCCUAUGCCACAGCCGCAGCAACACCAGAUCCGAGCUGCAUUUUUGACCUACAGCACCUUAACCCACUGAGCAAGGCCAGGGAUCAAACCCACAUCCUCAGGGAGAGUCAGGUCCUUAACCUGCUGAGCCACAGCAGAAACUCCUUUAUGGUUAUCAUUAGUAGUGAAGGCUUAUUUGGAAACAUAGAUGAAUUAGUUUUACUUAUGUCUUUAAUGGAAAUUUUCCUAAAAUGGAUUAUUAUAUUCCUGGAGUUCCUGUCGUGGCUCAGUGGAAAUGAACCUAACUAGUAUCCAUGAGGAUGCUUGCUCGAUCUCUGGCCUCGCUCAGUGGGUUAAGGAUCCGGCACUGCUGCGAGCUGUGGUGUAGGUCACAGGCAUGGCUCAGAUGCCGAGUUGCUGUGGCUGUGGUGUAAGCCAGCAGCUGUAGCUCUGAUUCGACCCUAGCCUGGGAGCUUCCAUAUACCGUGCAUGUGGCCCUAAAAAGCAAAAAAAAAGUAUCAUUACAUUCCUUUACCUGUUAACUUGGCUACCAGAAGUAUUUUAAACUGUUUAUCUAUAUCCUUUUAAAAGUCUUCUUUAUAAGUAUGAAUGACUGUUUUGGUACAUAGUAAUGGUCUCAAGAACUAGUGUAAAAAAUUUCUGUCCCAAUGUGGUAAUUUGGUCCCAGGUUAAGCUUUUAUAUUAAAAGUUGCUUUUUUUUUUCCUCCUAUGAGCUGUUAACACUUCACUAUAGCCAUUGCAACUAGUUUCCAGGAGAUGGCAGUCCCCUGAGUCAGCUGUGUUCAUUGGUCAGAAUAAAUUCCAGCAUCUGACACCAACUCCAUUAAUCACAGACAAGCUUGAAUAAGUGAGUAAGAUAAUAGAAAGACAAAAAUAUCUGGUGAACAGUGAACAGUUUAUAUAUGUAUGAUGUUCAGUUAAUACAGAGAUCUGAAAUACUCUUUUGAGUCCAAGGUGUUUGAAACUCCAUCAAAAAGGAUAAGGGCCUUCUGCAUGGAACCCUUCAUCUCGGGCAAAAGAUGAAGGAACUGAGAAACAGAUUACUAAUAAUCUUAAUACGCCCCCCGAAAGAA